rnacentral:rRNA from 1 species
UUGGAGGGCAAGUCUGGUGCCAGCAGCCGCGGUAAUUCCAGCUCCAAUAGCGUAUAUUAAAGUUGUUGCAGUUAAAAAGCUCGUAGUUGAAUUUCGGGGUCAGUAAGUUGGUCGUGCCACUGGUAUGCACUGGCUUUACUGAUUCCUCCUUCUUGUAGAACCUUAAUGCCAUUAACUUGGUGUUAUGGGGAAACAGGACUGUUACUUUGAAAAAAUUAGAGUGUUUAAAGCAAGCUAACGCUUGAAUACAUUAGCAUGGAAUAAUGAAAUAGGACGAUCGAUCCUAUUUUGUUGGUUUCUAGGAUUGACGUAAUGAUUAAUAGGGAUAGUUGGGGGCAUUAGUAUUCAAUUGUCAGAGGUGAAAUUCUUGGAUCUAUUGAAGACUAACUACUGCGAAAGCAUUUGCCAAGGAUGUUUUCAUUAAUCAAGAACGAAAGUUAGGGGAUCGAAGACGAUCAGAUACCGUCGUAGUCUUAACCAUAAACUAUGCCGACUAGGGAUCGGAUGAUGUUAAUUUUUUAAUGACUCAUUCGGCGCCUUACGGGAAAC